rnacentral:rRNA from 1 species
GACGAACGCUGGCGGCGUGCUUAACACAUGCAAGUCGAACGAGAAGAGAUGAGAAGCUUGCUUCUUAUUGAUUCGAGUGGCAAACGGGUGAGUAACGCGUAAGCAACCUGCCCUUCAGAUGGGGACAACAGCUGGAAACGGCUGCUAAUACCGAAUACGUUCUCUUUAUCGCAUGGCAGAGGGAAGAAAGGGAGGCUCUUCGGAGCUUUCGCUGAAGGAGGGGCUUGCGUCUGAUUAGCUAGUUGGAGGGGUAACGGCCCACCAAGGCGACGAUCAGUAGCCGGUCUGAGAGGAUGAACGGCCACAUUGGGACUGAGACACGGCCCAG